rnacentral:rRNA from 1 species
AUACGAAGGGUGCAAGCGUUACUCGGAAUUACUGGGCGUAAAGCGUGCGUAGGUGGUUGUUUAAGUCUGUCGUGAAAGCCCUGGGCUCAACCUGGGAACUGCGAUGGAAACUGGGCGACUAGAGUGUGGUAGAGGGUAGCGGAAUUCCUGGUGUAGCAGUGAAAUGCGUAGAUAUCAGGAGGAACAUCCAUGGCGAAGGCAGCUACCUGGGCCAACACUGACACUGAGGCACGAAAGCGUGGGGAGCAAACAGGAUUAGAUACCCUGGUAGUCCACGCCCUAAACGAUGCGAACUGGAUGUUGGGUGCACUUUGGCACGCAGUAUCGAAGCUAACGCGUUAAGUUCGCCGCCUGGGGAGUACGGUCGCAAGACUGAAACUCAAAGGAAUUGACGGGG